rnacentral:rRNA from 1 species
CGUGUAGGCGGUUGGUCAAGUCUGGUGUGAAAGCCCGGGGCUUAGCCCCGGAAGUGCGCUGGAAACUAGCCAACUUGAGCGCGAUAGAGGAGGGUGGAGUUCCUGGUGUAGCGGUGAAAUGCGUAGAUAUCAGGAGGAACACCGGCGGCGAAGGCGGCCCUCUGGAUCGUUGCUGACGCUGAGACGCGAAAGCGUGGGGAGCAAACAGGAUUAGAUACCCUGGUAGUCCACGCUGUAAACUAUGGGUACUAGGUGUUCGGGGUGUUGACCCCCUGAGUGCCGACGCUAACGCAUUAAGUACCCCGCCUGGGGACUACGGCCGCAAGGCUAAA